CCCCUCUCAGGGUCACACCUGGAGAGUUUCUAGUACUCUACCAGUCUCGACUGUGGGAGGGAGAGUCAAGCAGAGGCAUAUUAUCCAUUCCAUUCCUAGCUUGGGCCGUGGCUAGCGAGUGGAAGGCAACCUGCUACAAGU